UCUCCGUAGGUGAACCUGCGGAGGGAUCAUUACUGAGUUCAUGCCCUACCGGGUAGACCUCCCACCCUAUGUUAUUAUUACUUUGUUGCUUUGGCGGGCCGUUAGGCUCCGGCCCGACUACCGGCCCCGGCUGGUAAGCGCCCGCCAGAGGACCCAAAACCCUGAAUAUUAGUGUCGUCUGAGUACUAUAUAAUAGUUAAAACUUUCAACAACGGAUCUCUUGGUUCUGGCAUCGAUGAAGAACGUAGC
rnacentral:misc_RNA from 1 species